rnacentral:rRNA from 1 species
AUUGAACGCUGGCGGCAUGCCUUACACAUGCAAGUCGAACGGCAGCGGGGGAGAAGCUUGCUUUUCCUGCCGGCGAGUGGCGAACGGGUGAGUAAUACAUCGGAACGUGCCCUGUAGUGGGGGAUAACUAGUCGAAAGAUUAGCUAAUACCGCAUACGACCUGAGGGUGAAAGUGGAGGACCGCAAGGCCUCAUGCUAUAGGAGCGGCCGAUGUCUGAUUAGCUAGUUGGUGGGGUAAAGGCCUACCAAGGCGACGAUCAGUAGCUGGUCCGGGAGGACGAUCAGCCACACGGGGACUGAGACACGGCCCAGACUCCUACGGGAGGCAGCAGUGGGGAAUUUUGGACAAUGGGCGAAAGCCUGAUCCAGCAAUGCCGCGUGUGUGAAGAAGGCCUUCGGGUUGUAAAGCACUUUUGUCCGGAAAGAAAUGGCUCUGGUUAAUACCUGGGGUCGAUGACGGUACCGGAAGAAUAAGGACCGGCUAACUACGUGCCAGCCGCCGCUGUAA